rnacentral:rRNA from 1 species
UACGGGGGGGGCAAGCGUUGUCCGGAAUCAUUGGGCGUAAAGCGCGCGUAGGCGGCCCGGUCAGUCCGUUGUGAAAGUCAAAGGCUCAACCUUUGAAAGCCGGUGGAUACUGUGGGACUAGAGUACGGAAGAGGCGAGUGGAAUUCCUGGUGUAGCGGUGGAAUGCGCAGAUAUCAGGAGGAACACCAAUAGCGAAGGCAGCUCGCUGGGACGUUACUGACACUGAGGCGCGAAAGCGUGGGGAGCGAACAGG